AACGAACGCUGGCGGCAUGCCUAACACAUGCAAGUCGAACGAGACCUUCGGGUCUAGUGGCGCACGGGUGCGUAACGCGUGGGAACCUGCCCUUAGGUUCGGAAUAACUCCCCGAAAGGGGUGCUAAUACCGGAUAAUGUCUUCGGACCAGAGAUUUAUCGCCUUUGGAUGGGCCCGCGUUGGAUUAGCUAGUUGGUAGGGUAAAAGCCUACCAAGGCGACGAUCCAUAGCUGGUCUGAGAGGAUGAUCAGCCACACUGGGACUGAGACACGGUCCAGACUCCUACGGGAGGCAGCAGUGGGGAAUAUUGGACAAUGGGCGAAAGCCUGAUCCAGCAAUGCCGCGUGAGUGAUGAAGGCCUUAGGGUUGUAAAGCUCUUUUACCCGGGAUGAUAAUGACAGUACCGGGAGAAUAAGCUCCGGCUAACUCCGUG
rnacentral:rRNA from 1 species